CCUACGGGAGGCAGCAGUGGGGAAUAUUGGGCAAUGGAGGCAACUCUGACCCAGCAACGCCGCGUGAGCGAUGAAGGUCUUCGGAUUGUAAAGCUCUGUCGCAGGGGACGAAGUAUGACGGUACUCUGUAAGAAAGCACCGGCUAACUACGUGCCAGCAGCCGCGGUAAUACGUAGGGGGCUAGCGUUGUCCGGAAUUACUGGGCGUAAAGGGAGUGUAGAGGGGUUGUUAAGUUAAGUGUGAAAGCCUGCGGCUUAACCGCAGAAUUGCACUUAAAACUGACACGCUAGAGUGCAGGAGAGGUAGGUGGAAUUCCUGGUGUAGCGGUGGAAUGCGUAGAUAUUAGGAGGAACACCAGAGGCGAAGGCGGCUCACUAGACUGUAACUGACAUUGAGGCUCGAAAGCGUGGGGAGCAAACAGGAUUAGAUACCCGAGUAGUC
rnacentral:rRNA from 1 species